CCCGGCUGCUGCCGGUGUUCGGCGUGCCGGAACCCCGGCCCUCGGCCGAGGGAGCCGGGGACGGACUCGCCGCCCCCGGCGUUCUGUUCGUCGUUGCCGCGGC
rnacentral:tRNA from 1 species